UGUGAAUAUUGAGCAUAGAAAAGAAGCACCGGAAAGUGUCUUCGUAUCUCGGUUUCAAGACUCUCUACUGGUAAAGAAAAACGGACUCAAGAACGCUCUAUUGUGAACAAAGAUCCGUGAUUCUCACUACUCUCUCUCUCACCGCCGCCAUGGACGAUCCACCGUUGCAGAAGAUCGCGAUUUCCGGCCCCACACUUGCCUCCCUCAUCCAGCGUUUCUCCACUUCCCCCUCCGCAAUCCGCGGCCUCCUCUUCGGCCACGUCACCCACCUUCCCACCACACCCUCCGACGACUCUCCCUCCACCGUCCCCACCCUCCUCGCCACCGUCACCGGCUUCCUCUGCUCCCCCUCCUUCCAUGAAUCCUCCGGCGAUGUCAUCCCCUCCGCCCUCCACCCUCACUCCUCCGUCCUCGGGUGGUUCUCCGCUCGCCGCCGAUCCGCCCUCCGCCCCUCCAUGCGCGAUUUCUCCGUCACCUCCUCCCUCUCGUCUCUCUCAAAAUUCUCUACCUCAAUCGAUAACUCAAACCUAAACCUAAAGUCAAAUUCCCCUGAACAACCUUCUCUCUUCCCUCCCUGCGUCUUCCUCCUCCUAGCUUCCCCUCCCUUCGACAACGCGUCCUCCUCGCACGUGCACACGCACGAGUACCGCGCCUUCCAGUUCCGCACCGGGGCCCAGUGGUUCGAGCCCCGUUCCCUCGACGUCGUCAACAUCGGCCCUGCCUUCCGCGGCCACUACGGUGCUUUCAUCCCCACCUCGAGCCUCCCCGCACUCGACCGCGGGCUCUGUGGCUCCCCGAUGGAUGACGGUGGCGACGAGAGGCUCGCCCGGAUGAAGCAGGCCGCCAAUGACCAGAGGGAGCUCGACGGGUGCGUCGAGGGGUUUGAGGUUGGGAAGUUGAGCAGAAUGGUCGGGUCUGAUGCUAGGAGCUACACCGAGGGUUUGGAGGAGUUGUAUAAGAAAAUGCUUGUUAAGAUUCAGAAUUUGACUAGCUUGGUGGACGAGAGUUCUGCUAUGGUUCUUGAGCAGGAAAAUCAUAAUAGGAAGUUAAAACACAAAAUUUUUAGAUCUGCUGCUGCCUCAGAAUAACUUCCUGUGUCAAAUCUGGUGAUCCCUUCUUUUUUUGUUCAGAAUCUAGAACUUUUGAUGAAGAAUACCAAGAGUUUUUGAGGUACAAGUCUGAGAAGUCUUCUAAUCUUGGUCAAUCUUCCUCAAUGACAAAUGUGUCAACUGCCUGCAUCUCUGAAUCUGUGGAAGGUCUCAUAGUCCAUGGAUUCUUGACUCAGGUGCCUCAGAUCAUAUCUCUGGAACAUGGUACGAGUCGUUUGAUUGGAGAAGGACAUGAGUCAUGGGGACUUUAUUUCUUAAAACCUAACUCCUUAGUUUCCUGUUUUGCAACUUCAUCUCCAAAACUUUUGCAUGAUCGGUUGGGCCACCCAAGCUUAUCCAAGUUGAAGAUGAUGGUUCCAAGUCUCAAACACAUUCAAGUCUUAGAUUGUGAGUCUUGUCAGUUAGGAAAACAUGUUAGAUCUUCUUAUCCUAAAAGGUCUGAGACGUAAUGUAAUUUUUCCUUUUCAACUAUUCACUCUUAUAUAUGGGGACCAAGUCGUGUUAGUUCUUUUGGUUUUAAUUAUUUUGUAACCUUCAUUGAUGAAUUUUCUCGAUGUACUUGGGCUUAUUUAAUGAAAGAGAGAUCUGAACUUUUGGCAAUAUUUGUGUCUUUUUUUAAUGAAAUUAAGAACCAAUUUGGGAAGACAAUUAAAAUCCUCAGAAGCGAUAAUGCUAAAGAAUACUUUUCUGCAACAUUUUCUUCAUUCUUAUCUUCCCAAGCAAUUUUACACCAGUCAACAUGUCCCUACACUCCACAACAAAAUGACAUUGCAGAGAGAAAGAAUAGACAUCUCAUUGAAAUUGCACACUCCGUGAUGUUGAAUACUAAUGUUCUUGUUCAUCAUUGGGGUGAUGCAAUCCUAUUACCUGUUUUCUGAUCAAUAGGAUGCCUUCUUCCUCUCUUGAGAAUAAAGUCCCUCACUUUGUCAUUUUUCCAAAUGACCCUCUUUACCUUGUCUCUCGUAUAUUUGGGUGUACUUGUUUUGUUCAUAAUGUUUCUCCAGGUCUUGAUAAACUCUCUACAAAAGCUAUUAAGUGUGUCUUUUUGGGAUACUCUCGCCUUCAGAAAGGGUAUAAAUGUUAUUCUCCCUCAACCAAGAGGUAUUAUAUGUCUGCUGAUGUCACAUUCUAUGAGGACACACCGUUUUUCUUGUCCUCCAUGGAGGACUGUUCAUCUGUUCAACAAAUGUUUCCUCUACCAUCAUGUGAUCCCUUGGUUACUCCUGCUUCUUUACCUCAAACUCAAAAUGCAAAUGACAUUGUUCCUCUACCUCUUCUCACAUACCAGCGUCGGACACAAUCUCAAACUCAGAACAUUGAAGAUCCUCGAGACUCAGAUCCUCCUUCAUCAGAUUCCCAAACCAUGGAUCCUUCAUCCUUUUGACCCUCUCUUGACUUAGAUAAUAAUUGGCCUAUUUCCCUUCGGAAAGGUAUUCGCUCUACUCGUAAUCCUUAUUCUGUUUAUAAUUUUGAGUUAUCAUCGUUUAUCUCCUCCAUAUUUCUCUUUUGUUUCUUCCUUAUCUUCCAUUAAGGUUCCUAAUAAUGUUCAUGAGGCACUUGGUCAUCCUGGAUGGCGACAAGCCAUGAUUGAUGCAGGCACUUGAACACAAUGGCACUUGGGACCUUGUUCCUCUUCCUCCUGGUAAGAAGCCUAUUGGUUGUAGAUGGGUUUAUGCUAUUAAGGUUGGUCCUACUGGUGAAAUUGAUCGUCUUAAAACUCGUUUGGUAGCUAAGGGAUAUACUCAAGUCUGUGGCCUUGAUUAUUGUGAUACUUUUUCUCCUGUGGCUAAAAUCAGUAUUGUUUGUAUUUUGCUUGCUAUGGCUGCCAUCUGUCAAUGGCCCCUUUACUAGUUGGACAUUAAAAAUGUCUUUCUUCAUGGUGAUCUAGAAGAAGAGAUAUACAUGGAGCAACCUCCUGGGUUUGUUGCUCAGGGGGAGUCUGAGUUAGUUUGCAAAUUACAUCGUUCCCUCUAUGGCUUGAAGCAAUCACCUCGAGCUUGGUUUGGUAAAUUUAGUCGGGUUGUGCAGAAUUUUGGAUUGAAACGAUGUGAGGCGGAUCAUUCAGUAUUUUAUAGUCACUCUUCUCCUAAUAAAUGUGUUUAUCUUAUGGUCUAUGUUGAUGAUAUUGUCAUUACAGGAAAUGACGUCACUAGAAUUGAUCAAUUAAAGAAUCAUUUGUUCAACCACUUUCAAACCAAAGAUCUGGGUCGACUAAAAUAUUUCCUUGGUAUUGAAGUGGCACAAUCGAAGGAAGGUGUCAUCAUUUCACAAAGAAAAUAUGCUCUUGAUAUUUUGGAGGAAACAGGCCUGACAAAUUGCAAGCCUAUUGAUAGUCCUAUGGACUCAAAUCAAAAGUUAAUGAAAGACCAAGGUGAACUUUUCUCAGACCCAGAGAGAUAUAAAAAGCUUGUUGGAAAACUUAUCUAUCUUACCAUAACAAGACCUGAUCUUUCUUAUCUGGUGGGAGUUGUGAGUCAAUUUAUGCAAAAUCCACAUGUUGAUCAUUGGAAUGCAGUGAUUCGCAUUCUCAGAUAUGUAAAAGGAAACCCAGGACAAGGAUUGUUGUAUGAGGACAAGGGAAGCACUCGAGUUGAGGGAUAUUGUGAUGCAGAUUGGGUUGGUUGUCCAAUUCACAGAAGAUCUAGAAUAGGAUAUUGUGUUUUACUUGGAGGGAACCUUGUAUCUCGGAAAAGUAAGAAACAAAGUGUUGUUGCUCGAUCUAGUGCUGAAGUUGAGUAUCGAUCUAUGGCUCUAACUACAUGUGAACUUGUGUGGAUUAGACAACUCCUUCAAGAGUUGAAAUUUUGUGAAAAUGAGCAUAUGAAGUUGUAUUGUGACAAUCAAGCUGCCCUUCACAUUGCCUCAAAUCCAGUGUUUCAUGAAAGAACAAAACACAGAGAGAUUGAUUGUCAUUUUAUUAGAGAGAAGUUAUUGUCAAAGGAUCUUGUUACUGAGUUUGUCAACUCUAAUGAACAACUCGUAGACAAUCUGACCAAAUCUCUAAGGGGGCCUAGAAUUCAAUUUAUAUGUUCUAAACUUGGUGCAUAUGAUCUAUAUGCUCCAGCUUGAGGGGGAGUGUUGAAGUAUAGUAUCUUUAUUAUUAUUAAUAUUUAUGUUAGGGCUUUGUUAGGGGCUUCCCGCCCUUUUAUUUUUUAGAACUACUAUCUCCUAUAAAUACAGUAGUAAGUUGUAUUAGGCUCAUUAAGUGAAAAAUAUAAGACUUUUCAUCUUCUCUCAACUCUUCAAGUGUAGGUACCCGAAGGAGUCGAGUAACUAGGCCAUCCACAACGGGAUUUGAUCACUAGCUAAAACUUGAUCACGUACAUGAUCAAAAUCUGAGGGUAAACUUCUUAGAAUUAGGACCAUGUAAUACUUGUCAAGCUUUUUGUUGAUACUUUCUAAUGAAUCAACUACAAAGAAGUUAUUUAACUCUUCUACCGCAACCCUAGCUUUUGUUAUAUGGGAAACCAUAUUGUGGUUGACUUGUUUGAGAGAAGCUAUAGUUUGGGUUGCAUCGAAAAGACGUUGUACGUCAUUAGCAAAAAUAUCUUGUGCCCUUUUUCCAAAAAGAAUAUCUUGUGCCCUUUUUCCAAAAAGAGGAACAUGUCUUAUAGGGUCUCAAGAUAUCUAGAACCUCUUGCUCAACCAAUUGCCACAAAACAACAAAUAACUGAAAGUCUAGUUUCUGCCACUCAGAUUUUUCUUCAUCUAGGACCAUAGAAACAUCUUGUUCAAGGUGAUUAAAGCAAGAAACCAUAAUUCCACAAUAGAGGACCAUGAUAAAUAAUUUUUCCAAUUGAGUUUUGCAGACAUAAUGAUAGGGUUAGCAGAUAAAGAGGAGUUAGUUCCAGUAGAAGAGGCCAUUCUAAAGCUGUGAGAAGAAACCAGACUUAGCGUUCCAAAUAACAUGAGAGAGGAAACCCUAGGUAUGAGCCCCAACCAACGAAACCGAGAAACAAGAAUCAAAACACACUUAGGAAGCACUGGCGAGACGACCGACAAUGGUGCGAUGUAACUCCAACACUGGGAAGGCGACGCAAGAUGAACACGUGCCUGAGACUGGCCAGAGAGAAGCGGCGAGUACGGAGGCUUCUAGGAGGGGACCACCAGGGUUGGGUCGUGCUUCUCAAGGCGCACCUAACCCUUGACUUCACCGGAGAAAGCAACAGUUGACGGCGACAGAGAGACGAUGACACCGACGAUAGACAAGGAAGAUACAAAGAGAAGACUGGCUAUGGACAUUUCAGCGUUCUGUGCUUGAUCUGGAUCAACAAUUUCUUCUAGUCACUUCAAAAGUUAGUUUGCUGAUGGACCUUUUGGUGGUCAUGUGGUAUAUGCAGUCCAGCUGUUGUAGAUGAUGUAAUUUUCUUUUUGAUGACUCUUCAAGCUGAAGAAGGUAGUAAUUGUGCAGAGCAGUUUUGAAUGAUGUGAUCUUUCUCCAUAUAAGAACAAUUAGAUAUUUUUCAUGCAGUGAUAUAUGCCAGCCCUAUUCUGUAUCUUUUUUUCAGCUUUAGUUGUUGCAAUGUCGUGUUCACAAGGUCACUUUACAAGAGAGAAAUGAAAUCAACAUGUGUUGCGAUAUUGUUAA